UAAGGAAUAUUGCUCAAUGGGAGAAAUCCUGAAGCAGCAACGCCGCGUGGAGGAUGAAGGGUCUAUGACUUGUAAACUCCUGUAAAGAAGGAAAAAAUUCCCAUUUGAUGGGAGAUGAUGGUACUUCUGGAGUAAGCCCCGGCUAACUACGUGCCAGCAGCCGCGGUAAUACGUAGGGGGCGAGCGUUGUCCGGAUUUACUGGGUGUAAAGGGUGCUCAGGCGGAUUUGUAAGUCAGAGGUGAAAUCUUACAGCUUAACUGUGAAACUGCCUUUGAUACUGCAAGCCUAGAGUAUGGAAGAGAGUGAUGGAAUAUCUGGUGUAGCAGUGAAAUGCGUAGAUAUCAGAUAGAACACCAAUGGCGAAGGCAGUCACUUGGUCCAUUACUGACGCUAAAGCACGAAAGCGUGGGUAGCAAACA
rnacentral:rRNA from 1 species